GCCAGUGUGGUGUAGUGGUUUGAGUGUUGGACUAUGACUCUGGAGACCAGGUUCAAAUCCCGGCUCAGCCA